ACGUUAUAUUUUCUACCUUUACUCAUUCAGAGAUUGAUCAUGAAUGAAAAAAUCUCGUAAACUUAUAAGGCAACUUAGAACAUUUAUUAAAAGGAUUAUUUUCAGCAAAAUUUAUAAAUCUACUAAUCUAUGUGAUUUAGUUAUCGAGGAAUCAUUAAUAGGUAUGGAUUGGCAUAAAGGGGCUCAGAGCUUGCAAAUAAUUAUUUUAUUAAGCUCUAGGGGAAAUACAGCCUGUAAUGAUACAUUGACUCAUUAGUUUGUAAUCAGCUAACGAAGAUUACAAUGGCCCUAACCCUUCGAACCAAUCUCACAUACCUAUUUUAUAAAUUAUCGAAGUCAUAUUCCUGCGAAUUGAUUUCUGAUAUUGAUAUCUCUCCGUCUGAUAUCAGAUCAAUUAGUUUUAUCUUCUAUGCUAAUUUAACAAAAUCCUUUAAAAAAUUGAUUCUACAGUAAUGUGUUCAAUCAUAGAUAACCCCAAUAUCAGUAACUUGAUUCAUUGCACUAUGAAGAGUUAAAAUGCAAAUCACGUUUAUCGAGGUGUCUAAUGUUUACAAUAUUUAUCAUGCCUUUAAUAAUUUAUAUCUGUUUCUUUUUUCAGUAAAGUCUUGGAGUUAUUUUUAAAAACAAAAUGCGAAGCUUUCUACAAGAUGGGACUUGGCGAUUUAUCAUUUAUAUGCUUAUUUCAAUCGCUAGAAAACCUUCCAUUUUCUAUAGUAAGGAGAAUUCGUGUCUACAUAGGUUAAAGUACGUUCGACUUAAAUUAUAACAUUUCUUACAUUCAUCCCUUUCAAUCUGUCUUACUCAUCCAAGUUUCCAGAAAGAUGAGAUUUCUCAAAGUUUCUUUUAUGCAUAGAUUCUAUUUAGGUUAUUUUCAUCUGGCUUCGUCUCUAGAGAGCCCACACUGAUAGAAAUAUCUCAUUUUCCUUUUAGAUAGAGUGCUUAUGCUAGAAUGUCUUAAGUGAGACAGAUAUCAAUGUGUUUUUAUUCUGACUAGCGCAGUUAACCACAGCAUCAACUCACAUCUGCCAUCUACAGGAUUUUAUUUUAAUAACUUAUCAUUUUUUUUUUUCAUAUAAACUGGAAUGAACUCAAAAUAAUACGAAAUGCUAGAAUUUUUUCAUUACUGGAAGAGUUCAGUUACUUUUGUUCCAUCUCUGUUUAUCAAAUACUUCACUUGCGAUCCUUAUUAUAUGUUACAGUCAGUCUGAAAAUAAUGAAGUGUUUCAACACAUCAACACUGUCCAUGUUGAUUAUUACACUUUAUGCUAUGACUUAUUUCUUCUAAAUUACUAUUAUCAAUGAGAAAAACUUCUUUUCUAACUAUUUUCCUUCUGAGUAAUAAUUAAAUUGCAGAUAUUUUGAUUCUAUUGUACACACAUAAAUUUAAAGAUAGAUUUAUAGCCGAAGACAAUAUUUUUGGCAAGAAGUCAUAGAUUCCUACGACCACAUCUGGAUCUCAAAAAUUGCUGAAUGUGAUUUUUAUCUUGUUUUCAGACCUUUCUAAAAGUUUAAAAAGGUUUGAAAGAAAGAAGAGUAGUCAGCAUUUCUAUCUCUUAUAACAUACCUAAAAUAUGUUCACUUAUACUUUUAUCCUUCGUUAUUAAUUAUAUAAUGUGUCCGAAAAACGUGUAAACAGUGUGUUUGUAACUAGUGUGCUCAUUAUUAUUAUAAUCACUACUAGUUUUAUUCUUUCUGAUGCUGCUUUUGAAGAUCAGGUAACUCGAUAUCAUCAAAUCUCUCUCGUUGCUGUUAGAGAUUUGCUGAUAUCGUGUUACCUUGUCACUUCUUUACUGUCUCGAUUUUUUUUUUUUUUUUUUGCUCGUAUUUUAGAUAUGUUAUAAACGAAUUGUCGAACUUGUUAAAAC
rnacentral:lncRNA from 1 species